rnacentral:rRNA from 1 species
ACUUGCUCCACGCGUUGGGAGCUCUCCCAUAUGGUCGACCUGCAGGCGGCCGCACUACUGAUUCCUACGGGAGGCAGCAGUAGGGAAUCUUCCGCAAUGGCACGAAAGUCUGACGGAGCAACGCCGCGUGAGUGAUGAAGGUUUUCGGAUCGUAAAACUCUGUUGUUAGGGAAGAACAAGUACCGUUCGAAUAGGGCGGUACCUUGACGGUACCUAACCAGAAAGCCACGGCUAACUACGUGCCAGCAGCCGCGGUAAUACGUAGGUGGCAAGCGUUGUCCGGAAUUAUUGGGCGUAAAGCGCGCGCAGGCGGUUUCUUAAGUCUGAUGUGAAAGCCCCCGGCUCAACCGGGGAGGGUCAUUGGAAACUGGGGAACUUGAGUGCAGAAGAGGAGAGUGGAAUUCCACGUGUAGCGGUGAAAUGCGUAGAGAUGUGGAGGAACACCAGUGGCGAAGGCGACUCUCUGGUCUGUAACUGACGCUGAGGCGCGAAAGCGUGGGGAGCGAACAGGAUUAGAUACCCUGGUAGUCCACGCCGUAAACGAUGAGUGCUAAGUGUUAGAGGGUUUCCGCCCUUUAGUGCUGCAGCAAACGCAUUAAGCACUCCGCCUGGGGAGUACGGUCGCAAGACUGAAACUCAAAUGAAUUGACGGGGAAUCCCGCGGCCAUGGCGGCCGGGAGCAUGCGACGUCGGGCCCAAUUCG